UAACAAUCUUUAAAAAUAUAUAUAUAUAUAUAAAAUAGGAAUACAAUAAUUAUUGCACAAUUAUCCUCAAUUCACUUCCUGUGCCAAGUGAAAGCGUUGAUGGAAUAGAAAGAUCGAUCAUCUUCGAAAAUAACUUGAUUGAUCCGGAAGAAAGAUUUAAAGCAACACUUGUUGCCCGCUUUUUAACGGUUUUCAAACGGCGCUGCGAUCGAACGAUUACAUAUGCGGAACGAACAGUCGAUGAGAAUCAUCGUCGAAUACGGAUCGAAGUCAAGGCGACACCAAACGUCUGUAACUAACGUAACGCCUUCGUAACUUUUGAUACAGCUAUUAAGCGCGUGCUUGCGUAAGAGGGUCGCGUUAUUUAAAGGCGGAAUCGUUGUAUCAUCUAAACACGGUUAUACGCAACAGGAUACAAAUACCGUCGAUCAGCAUGUUAUGUGUGUCGCGUCGAGGAAUCGCUUUUAUCGUGGAAAACAGAUACUCAACGGCUGGAUCUCGGAUGGAAACGUACACCGAGCGAGUAAAACGAUACGUUCGAGACGGAUUACGACUUAAAAAAAGAAA